rnacentral:rRNA from 1 species
UGAGAGAGGAGCUUGCUCUUCUUGGAUGAGUUGCGAACGGGUGAGUAACGCGUAGGUAACCUGCCUUGUAGCGGGGGAUAACUAUUGGAAACGAUAGCUAAUACCGCAUAACAAUGGAUGACACAUGUCAUUUAUUUGAAAGGGGCAAUUGCUCCACUACAAGAUGGACCUGCGUUGUAUUAGCUAGUAGGUGAGGUAACGGCUCACCUAGGCGACGAUACAUAGCCGACCUGAGAGGGUGAUCGGCCACACUGGGACUGAGACACGGCCCAGACUCCUACGGGAGGCAGCAGUAGGGAAUCUUCGGCAAUGGGGGCAACCCUGACCGAGCAACGCCGCGUGAGUGAAGAAGGUUUUCGGAUCGUAAAGCUCUGUUGUAAGUCAAGAACGAGUGUGAGAGUGGAAAGUUCACACUGUGACGGUAGCUUACCAGAAAGGGACGGCUAACUACGUGCCAGCAGCCGCGGUAAUACGUAGGUCCCGAGCGUUGUCCGGAUUUAUUGGGCGUAAAGCGAGCGCAGGCGGUUUGAUAAGUCUGAAGUUAAAGGCUGUGGCUCAACCAUAGUUCGCUUUGGAAACUGUCAAACUUGAGUGCAGAAGGGGAGAGUGGAAUUCCAUGUGUAGCGGUGAAAUGCGUAGAUAUAUGGAGGAACACCGGUGGCGAAAGCGGCUCUCUGGUCUGUAACUGACGCUGAGGCUCGAAAGCGUGGGGAGCGAACAGG